rnacentral:rRNA from 1 species
GACGAACGCUGGCGGCGUGCUUAACACAUGCAAGUCGAACGGAAAGGCCCUGCUUUUGUGGGGUGCUCGAGUGGCGAACGGGUGAGUAACACGUGAGUAACCUGCCCUUGACUUUGGGAUAACUUCAGGAAACUGGGGCUAAUACCGGAUAGGAGCUCCUGCUGCAUGGUGGGGGUUGGAAAGUUUCGGCGGUUGGGGAUGGACUCGCGGCUUAUCAGCUUGUUGGUGGGGUAGUGGCUUACCAAGGCUUUGACGGGGAGCCGUCCUGAGAGGGUGACCGGCCACAUUGGAACUGAGACACGGCACAGACGUCUACGGGAGGCAGUAGUGGGGAAUAUUGCAUGAUGGGCCGAAGCCUGAUGCAGCAACGCCGCGUGCGUGAAGACGGCCUUCGGGUUGUAAACCGCUUCCGCCUUUGACGAAGGGUGAGUGACAGUAAUGGGUAAAGAAGCACCGGCUAAGUACGUG